CCUACGGGGCGCAGCAGUGAGGAAUAUUGGUCAAUGGGCGAGAGCCUGAACCAGCCAAGUCGCGUGAAGGAUGACGGCCCUACGGGUUGUAAACUUCUUUUGUCAGGGAGCAAUUGGGUCCACGCGUGGGCUUAGCGAGAGUACCUGAAGAAAAAGCAUCGGCUAACUCCGUGCCAGCAGCCGCGGUAAUACGGAGGAUGCGAGCGUUAUCCGGAUUUAUUGGGUUUAAAGGGUGCGUAGGCGGAAUGCCAAGUCAGCGGUAAAAUCGCGGGGCUCAACCUCGCUCCGCCGUUGAAACUGGCGUU
rnacentral:rRNA from 1 species